GAUGAAACGCUGGCGGCAUGCCUUACACAUGCAAGUCGAACGGCAGCGCGGGAGCAAUCUGGGCGGCGAGUGGCGAACGGGUGAGUAAUAUAUCGGAACGUGCCCUGUAGCGGGGGAUAGCCGGCCCAACGGCCGGGUAAUACCGCAUCCGCUCGUUUGGGGACAUCCCCGGGCGAGGAAAGCAGCCGCAAGGUUGCGCCGAUGGAGAGCCUCGCGACCUAUCAGCUAGUUGGCGGGGUAACGGCCCACCGAGGCUACGACGGGUAGCUGGUCUGAGAGGAUGGCCAGCCACAUUGGGACUGAGACACGGCCCAGACUCCUACGGGAGGCAGCAGUGGGGAAUAUUGCGCAAUGGCCGAAAGGCUGACGCAGCGACGCCGCGUGUGGGAUGACGGCCCUCGGGUUGUAAACCACUGUCGGGGGGGACGAAUACAGGGCCUCGAAUAGGGGACCCUGGGUGACGGUACCUCCAAAGGAAGCACCGGCUAACUCCGUGCCAGCAGCCGCGGUAAUACGGAGGGUGCGAGCGUUGUCCGGAAUCACUGGGCGUAAAGGGCGCGUAGGCGGUUCGUUAAGUUGCUGGCGAAAUCCCGGGGCUCAACUCCGGGGCUGCCAGUAAGACUGGCGAGCUAGAGCACGGUAGAGGCGGAUGGAAUUCCCGGUGUAGCGGUGGAAUGCGUAGAUAUCGGGAAGAAUACCGGUGGCGAAGGCGUUCCGCUGGGCCGUUGCUGACGCUGAGGCGCGACAGCGUGGGGAGCAAACAGGAUUAGAUACCCUGGUAGUCCACGCCGUAAACGAUGGACACUAGGCGUCGGGGGGAGCGACCCCCUCGGUGCCGUCGCUAACGCAGUAAGUGUCCCGCCCUGGGAGUACGGCCCGCAGGCUGAAACU
rnacentral:rRNA from 1 species